CCUACGGGAGGCAGCAGUGGGGAAUAUUGCGCAAUGGGCGAAAGCCUGACGCAGCGACGCCGCGUGAGGGAUGAAGGUCUUCGGAUCGUAAACCUCUGUCAGCAGGGAAGAACGGUCACUGUGCUAAUCAGCAGUGAAUUGACGGUACCUGCAAAGGAAGCACCGGCUAACUCCGUGCCAGCAGCCGCGGUAAUACGGAGGGUGCGAGCGUUAAUCGGAAUUACUGGGCGUAAGGCGCUCGUUGGCGGUAUGUCAAGUCAAGGGUGAAAUCCCCGCGCUAAAGGUGGGAAGUGCCUUUGAUACUGGCAAGCUGGAGUGUGUGAGAGGAGAGAGGAAUUCGUGGUGUAGGGGUGAAAUCCGUAGAUAUCU
rnacentral:rRNA from 1 species